AGAUCUAUUUUUACAGACUCAUGCCUGGGAGAAGGGAAUCUGAAAAUGAUAGAGAUUGCAAAGCAGGUAAUCAAUAUAUCCGAGUGCUGAGAUUAAAGAAUUAUUUUACUUUGUGUCCGCCACCACAAUCAGCGUCAGCCGUGGGCACCAAUACCGGCUGAUUAUACUUUAUCACAUCAAAAGCCACCACUAAAAGAAGUGAUUGUCAGAAAAUCUGUUCCCUGGGAAACCGUGCAUAGCAAUUUUAUUUUUAUUUUUGUAUAAGCGUGUGUAUAUGUAUGGAUAAGAAUGCAGUGUGUAAGGCGCUUCAGAAUAGAAUAAAUACACGUGAGCAAAGUUAAGUGGGUUGUGUGACUGAUAUAAUAAUAAUGCUUCCCUAACACUGUAACCAUGGAAUACCAAAAACAGAGUUAAAUAUCAGUGUAUAGACACAGGGCCGGUGCAAGGAUUUUUGCCGCCCUAGGCAAAUAAAAAUUUGCCGCCCCCCCCCCCCCCAUGUCCUGCCCACCAUGUAACAUCACAAUGCCCCGCCCAUAUGGGCCAACGCCAGUCUUCACAAAGUGUCUUUUAUCUGAAAAGACAGUGUGUUAACAUUAAAAAGCCUACAGGCACAGGCUAUGCUAUAGACACCAGAACCACUACAUUAUGCUGUAGUGCUUCUGGUGACUAUAGUAUCCAUUUAAUGUGAGAUUAGUGCCACUAAUAAUAUAUUGGAUUGCCUACUUACCACCAGAUGAGGACAAGAGGCUGAUGAUGGGCUCAGUCUGGCUCCACAGGUCUGGUGUAGAAGAGGCUCUCUGGAGACUGUUUUUAACAGUGCUCACAACAAUUAACGAACAGGAAGCAGCUCCAUUUUUAGGGCCCCUUACACAGCUCAAGGUCUGGGCCCCCAGGGCUUGACCAUGAGUAUGCCUACAAUGCCCACCCAUAAAUACCUACAUGGCCCACCCAUGAGUUCUCUCACAAGAAGUGUAGUGUAUGUGUGUAAGGGAUGUUUUAUGUGUUAUUGUAGAGGAUGCAAUGUGUGUGUUCUUAUACAAUCUAGUGUAUAGGGAUACCAAUUUGUAUAAGGGAUGUAGUGUGUUUAUAGGGGAUGCAGUGUGUGUUUGCGUGUAAGGAAUGCAUUGUAUGUUUCUGUGUGUGUAAGGGGUGCAAGGUGUGUUUCUGUGUAUGUAAUUGAAUGCAGUGUGUGUCUGUAAGGGGUGCAUUGAUUGUGUAAGAGAUGCAUUUUGUUUCUGUGUGUAAGAGAAUGAGUGUUUGUGUGAGCGUAAGGGAUGCAUUGUGUGUUUCGGGUGUGUCUGUGUGUGAGUAGGAAUGCAUUGUAUGUUUCUGUGUGUGUGUGGGGGGGGGAAUGCAUUGUGUUUGUGUGUAGUGUAAAAGAGAGGGUUUGUGGGGUAGGAUAGGGACUGAGAGGGGAACAGCUCUUUAUUUUAAAAAAAAAAAUUCAUAGUGCUCUCCCCUCCUGUCAAUUAUUGAUUUCCCCUUCCCUCCUGUCCCUCCGUGUUCUACCCCUUCUGUCCCUUAGUGCUCUCCCUUGGCCCCCUGUCCCUCUGCAGUCCCCCCUUGGUGGUCUUCUCACUCCCCCCUCUUUCCCUUAGUGGUCCUCCAUCCCUUCCCUUAGUGGUCCUCCCUCUCCCAAACCCCUUAGUAGACCUUCCCCUCCUCCCCCCACCCCCUUAGUGGUAAUCCCCCCCCCUCAGUGGUCAUUACCCUCCCCCUCCCUUAGUGGUCCUCCCUCCUUACCCCCCUUUGGUGGUCCUUCUCCCCCUUAGUGGUCCUUACUCCCCCCCACUCCCCUAAUGGUCCUUACUCCCCCCCUCCCUAAUGUCAUACUCCCCCCCCUCCCUAAUGGUCUGACUACUCCCUCCCCCACUCCCCUAAUGGUCAUACUCCCCCCUCCUCUAAUGGGUCAUACUCCCCCCACUCCCCAUGGUCCUUACUCCCUCCCCCUCCCCUAAUGGUCCUUGCUCACCCCUCCCCCUCCCUAAUGGUCCUUACUCCUCCCCACUCCCCCCUCCCUAAUGGUCCCUUACUCCCCCCACCCCUAAUGGUCCUUACUCCCCCACCCCUAAUGGUCCUUGCUCACUCUCCCACCCCACCCCUAAUGGUCCUUAGUCCCUCAUGUCGCCACUCCCCCACCCCUAGUGGUCCUUGCUCCUCCCUCCCCCCCCCUCCUAAUGGUCGCCUCUCUCCACCCCUAAUGGUCCUUGCUCCCUCCCCUCCCCCCCACCCCUAAUGGUCCUUAGUCCCUCCCACUCCCCCCCCCUCCCCUAUUAGUGUACCCCUCCUGUGGCGUGGCGGGCUGGCAGGCAUGGAGACAGGAACCUCUGUUUCCUGUACCCGGCCGCCGGCGGACUGAAGGGAAGUGCUCACUCAGUGAGCACUUCCUGUCAUUCCGCCGGCGGCCGGGUACAGGAAACAGAGGUUCCUGUCCCGCGUUCCGCGCCCCCUGCUAAGUUGCGCCCUAGGCGGCUGCCUAGGUCGCCUUACAGGUGGCGCCGGCCCUGUAUACACAAAUCCCAAUGGGUUGAAUAAUAAGUUACUACAUCUAUAUGUAGAUGUAGUAAUAUAAUACGCCUAAAAUAUCAAUAUAAAAAACAACAUAGUGUGAACUGUUUAAAACACUUUGUCUAAAAUAAAUAUAGGACUACCACUCACAUGGCUCAGAGCCGUACCAGGCUCUGUAUAGCCGGCUCGAGGGUGCCAAUACUGGCUUUUCAAUUCACUGAUAAAGUAGCAGAAGAUGGGACUUCAGAUGUGUAGUCAAAAAUGAACUUUAUUUAAGUAUAACAUUAAAACUCAAGGUAUUUUACUAGAAUGGUAGUGGAACUAAAAGUGCAUAAAUCCAAAUGGUAAAAAAACAGGGUCCACUCACCACCACAAAGACAGUAACCCGGAGUAUCAAAACAAUAUAUAAUAUAAAAAUACAGCAGACGCGUUUCACCCGGUAAGCCGCCUUCCAGUGCUGAUGAUCAGUUCAAAUGUUCGUCUUUUUAUGUCCCAUCUUCUUACAAUCACCUGUGUGCAGUUUUCGAAUCACGGAACGUCACUUCCGGUUUUGUGCUUGACGCCACUUCCUCUCACGUCUCGGUGGAACGCACGUAUGGAACGCAGCAUUCAAUGUGAUUAGGAGUCCCGCCGGAACAUAGCAUUAGUUCAAUAGUUCCGAUACUUUUACUUGUAUCUCGGUAUAGGAAACAGAACAAUUAGUUUAAAUAACGUAUAUAACACCCUUGAGCCGGCUAUACAGAGCCCGGUACGGCUCUGAGCCAUGUGAGUGGUAGUCCUAUAUUUAUUUUACACAAAGUAUUUUAAACAGUUCACACUAUGUUAUUUUUUAUAUUUAUAUUUUAGGCGUAUUCUACUACAUCUACAUAUGGGUGUGUGUGUGUGUAUAUAUAUAUUCUGUCACUUGUACGGAAAUGUCAGUGUUCAAUACGAUAUUGAGAGUCACCUAUAACUUGUGUGUUUAUUCAUUUUGUUUGAUUUCUAUCCUUUUGAUCAAUAACAACAUAAAUAUAUUUUUAAAGAAACACUCAUUCAUUGGAAUUAAGUUGUUAUGGUGCUAGGUGGUCCCUGGCGCCGGCUUACCUUGACAAACGCUGGUUUAACCCUAAAAUCCAGUCAUUGAAGUUGUUAUGGUGCCUGGAGUGUUCCUUUAACCUUAGUAUUUUCCUUUAUUGUAUUCGAUUCACCCUCUGCCUUUAAUAAUUAAGAUAAUUCAAGUUGUAAAAUGCAGCUGUGAUGUAAUAGUCUCCUAUCAGCCAUUCUCAGGCUGACCUGUGGCACAAGCAUGACAACCACCGUGCAUCGCCACUCAGAUUCUUCUCUUCUGGAAGCGUUGAUUCCAUAGAGAGAGCUUACAGAGAGGAGGAGAAAUGAAACAAUGUUAAUAUUUCUCCUCUUCGUUUGCAUUGUGUGCCCUGCCUGUGCCUUGCCUGAACUGUACUAUGAUGUCAUUUGCUAAAUCUGUAACAUAAAUUUUAAAGAACACGGAGCAACUCGUGAAAAAUGUGGUUUACUCAAGUUAUAGGUGAUUUUCAAGGUUUGUUCAAUGGUUUAAAUUCUAGAGAAGUGACCGCUUAUGCUUCUACUCAAAAUACAACAUAGUAAUUCUAGGAUGCUGCAGUGACACCUAGUGGCUAAAUUUGGGUAGCUCAGCAUUAGUCCGUUAUAGGUUGUAAAUUUAAAUGUUUCCACUUAUAAUUUAUAAAGUGCCAACAAAUUCUGUAGCGCAGUACAAUGGGUGGACUAACAGACAUGUUUUUGUAACCAGACGAGUUAGAUGCACAUGAACAGAGGGUGUUAAGCGCCUGCUCAAACUAGAGGAAAGGUUGGGAUGCAUUUCAUUAAUGGAAAAAAGUAUUUUAUUGGAAUCUUUUACAGUGAAAGGGUUAGUUUAUUGGAUAACACAGUUAUUAUUAUUAUUGCAAUUUAUAUAGCGCCAACAGAUUCCGUAGUGCUUUAGUGCAGGUGAGGAAGUAGAGCCGGUUACUAAGAUGUGGGGAGGGAAAGCUCUUAUUGUUUGAUUGACACGCUUUCCUGAAGAAGUGAGUUUUCAAUGAUUUUUUGAAGGAGUGGAGACUGGGUGAACGUCUAACAGAGCAGGGAGGGAAGUUUCACAGGAACAGUGCAGGCGUGGAGAAAUCUUGGAGGUGAGCAUCAGAGGUGGGAGUACAAACGGGUUAGGUUAGACGUAGGUCUUUGACAGACUGUAGCGGCCUAGACAGGACAUACUUGUUUAUAAGUGAGGAUAGGUCGGUGGGAGCAGCGUUGUGCAGCUAUUUGUUAGCAAGCACCAGAAUUUUAAAUUGAACCCUGUAUCUUAUGGGAAGCCAGUGUAGGGACUGACAGAGAGGUAAGGCGUGGACGGGUAGGAAGACUCACCUCACUGCCACAUUCAUUAUAGACUGCAAUGGGCCAAGGCGAGAGAGGACCAGCACCAUGGCCGUAUCCGGCGUUAGAUGGGGGUAGAUGUGAGCAGUGUCUGAGAUGGAAGCAGCAGGAUUUGGCAAUUGAUUGGACAUGAGGGGUGAUGGAGAGGUUGAAGUCGGAGAGAACACCUAGGCAGUGAGCCUGGGAGGUAGAGCUGAUGGUGGCGCCGUUGACUUGGAGGGAGCAGCAACAUUUGAGAGAGAAAAGACCAGUUUUGGACAGGUUGAGUUUAAGGAAGUGAGCAGCCAUCCAGUUGGAAAUAUCAGAGAGGCAGUUAGGGACAUGAGUCAAGAUGGACAAUGAGAGAUCAGGAGAGGACAGGUAGAAAUAGGAGAGAGGAGCACCCACUGGAAUUAGCAGCAAUUAAAUCAUUGGAUACACUGUCUGUUUGGUUUUGUUUUGCUGUUUGUUUUUAUUGUUGGGGGCAGGAUUGUUUUUUUGUUUUUAUCCACUUUCUCGAUGUUUUUAUAGUCAAAGUGAAGAAAAUAACCCCCUCCCUCCUGAAUUCAAUAAAUAAAUAUAUCUCUGUCUGUUCUAUGGAUGUAUCUGUGAAGUUCCUGUAACCAUGUAGAAUGGACAGGAUUGUUACAUGUCCAAUGGAGUUGUUCGGUGUUUGUCUAGUAAUGAUGUAACGCAGAGUCUGCUGUUUUGUUCUGUAAUAGAUCAUUCUGAUUAUUAUAAGAUGCUGUUUUUCUGUAGCACGGCUCCGCUGUGAAACUUCCUGGCAGUGGGGGAGCAGUGAUCGGAUUGUGCCUCCAUCCAAAUAAACUGGUAUGGAAUGUCUUCUAUUCAAUAAUUUAAUCAAACCUGUGUUUAUGAAGCAAAAAUCCUAAAUUGUGUCUCUUCAUUUCAAGAUGGAACUGAAGAAGGCAUUUCAGGAGAAUGGUUUUGUAUUCUGCCACAUUGUCCCCCACAGUCCGGUGACAGCCAUCGUAAAGGAGGAAAGUCCUUCAGGACCGCGAUAACCAUCCAGUUACCAUUCUCAUUUCUCAUCAUCUUUAGGAAAUGUUUGUAGUAAAUAAUUAUGUCAUUAUGUAAAACAGUGUAUACUUUAUCUACAAUUUGCUGC